AACGAACGCUGGCGGCAUGCCUAACACAUGCAAGUCGAACGAGACCUUCGGGUCUAGUGGCGCACGGGUGCGUAACGCGUGGGAACCUGCCCUUAGGUUCGGAAUGACUCCCCGAAAGGGGUGCUAAUACCGGAUAAUGUCUUCGGACCAAAGAUUUAUCGCCUUUGGAUGGGCCCGCGUUGGAUUAGCUAGUUGGUAGGGUAAAAGCCUACCAAGGCGACGAUCCAUAGCUGGUCUGAGAGGAUGAUCAGCCACACUGGGACUGAGACACGGCCCAGACUCCUACGGGAGGCAGCAGUGGGGAAUAUUGGACAAUGGGCGAAAGCCUGAUCCAGCAAUGCCGCGUGAGUGAUGAAGGCCUUAGGGUUGUAAAGCUCUUUUACCCGGGAUGAUAAUGACAGUACCGGGAGAAUAAGCUCCGGCUAACUCCGUG
rnacentral:rRNA from 1 species